UUAAAACAAACACUAAGGAAGUUCUUCACACAACACACUGUCAGCACAUGGAACUCAUUGCCCGGGGAUGUUGUGAUGGACAAAACUAUAAUGGAUUUCAAAAAAGAACAUGAUAAGUUCAUGGAGGAUAGGUCCAUCAAUGGCUAUUAGCCAAGA